GAUGAACGCUGGCGGCGUGCCUAAUACAUGCAAGUCGAGCGAACGGACGAGAAGCUUGCUUCUCUGAUGUUAGCGGCGGACGGGUGAGUAACACGUGGAUAACCUUCUUCUAAGACUGGGAUAACUUCGGGAAACCGGAGCUAAUACCGGAUAAUAUUUUGAACCGCAUGGAUCAAGAGUGAAAGACGGUCUUGCUGUCACUUAUAGAUGGUUCCGCGCUGCAUUAGCUAGUUGGUAAGGUAACGGCUUACCAAGGCAACGAUGCAUAGCCGACCUGAGAGGGUGAUCGGCCACACUGGAACUGAGACACGGUCCAGACUCCUACGGGAGGCAGCAGUAGGGAAUCUUCCGCAAUGGGCGAAAGCCUGACGGAGCAACGCCGCGUGAGUGAUGAAGGUCUUCGGAUCGUAAAACUCUGUUAUUAGGGAAGAACAUAUGUGUAAGUAACUGUGCACAUCUUGACGGUACCUAAUCAGAAAGCCACGGCUAACUACGUG
rnacentral:rRNA from 1 species